rnacentral:rRNA from 1 species
AGUGAACGCUGGCGGUAGGCCUAACACAUGCAAGUCGAACGGCAGCACCGUAAGAGCUUGCUCUUACGGGUGGCGAGUGGCGGACGGGUGAGGAAUACAUCGGAAUCUACUUUUUCGUGGGGGAUAACGUAGGGAAACUUACGCUAAUACCGCAUACGACCUACGGGUGAAAGCAGGGGAUCUUCGGACCUUGCGCGAUUGAAUGAGCCGAUGUCGGAUUAGCUAGUUGGCGGGGUAAAGGCCCACCAAGGCGACGAUCCGUAGCUGGUCUGAGAGGAUGAUCAGCCACACUGGAACUGAGACACGGUCCAGACUCCUACGGGAGGCAGCAGUGGGGAAUAGUGGACAAUGGGCGCAAGCCUGAUCCAGCCAUACCGCGUGGGUGAAGAAGGCCUUCGGGUUGUAAAGCCCUUUUGUUGGGAAAGAAAAGCAGCAGGUUAAUACCCCGCUGUUCUGACGGUACCCAAAGAAUAAGCACCGGCUAACUUCGUG